rnacentral:lncRNA from 1 species
CACAACGCACGCGCGCACGUAUUUGCAUUCUUUUCGUGUAACCAACCGCGUGAGUUGGUGUAACAUCUUGCCAUUUGCAUGUAAUCUUUUGACAACGAUCAUUAUGGGUGUUUAAUCACACGCAGAGGGAAGUAACUAGAGAAGUAGAGAUAAACAAUGUAUCAUUGAAAUAUGGUGUCGGCCUAUUUACAUUCUAUUUAGUGGCUUCCAUCCAUACUCUACCUCUUCUCUAUAUUGCUCUGAAUACCCAAGAAAAGAAUAUGCAAACCAAGAGAGAAUGCUACCACCAUUUUGUCCAUUACCAUCUAUACUCUCC